GACGAACGCUGGCGGCGUGCCUAAUACAUGCAAGUUGAGCGCUGAAGGUUGGUACUUGUACCAACUGGAUGAGCAGCGAACGGGUGAGUAACGCGUGGGGAAUCUGCCUUUGAGCGGGGGACAACAUUUGGAAACGAAUGCUAAUACCGCAUAAAAACUUUAAACACAAGUUUUAAGUUUGAAAGAUGCAAUUGCAUCACUCAAAGAUGAUCCCGCGUUGUAUUAGCUAGUUGGUGAGGUAAAGGCUCACCAAGGCGAUGAUACAUAGCCGACCUGGGAGGGUGAUCGGCCACAUUGGGACUGAGACACGGCCCAAACUCCUACGGGAGGCAGCAGUAGGGAAUCUUCGGCAAUGGACGAAAGUCUGACCGAGCAACGCCGCGUGAGUGAAGAAGGUUUUCGGAUCGUAAAACUCUGUUGGUAGAGAAGAACGUUGGUGAGAGUGGAAAGCUCAUCAAGUGACGGUAACUACACAGAAAGGGACGGCUAACUACGUG
rnacentral:rRNA from 1 species